GGGUUGUAGGACACUCAAUACGGAGUUACAAAGGAAAUGAUUAGACGAAUGGUUUUGGAAAAGCCAACCAUAGAAGGUAAAGGUCCUGUAGUCGAAAGUUAUUUCUCUCCUGAGUGGAUCCUGAGUACGGCGGAACACGUGAAAUUCCGUCGGAAUCUGGGAGGACCAUCUCCCAAGGCUAAAUACUCUCUAGUGACCGAUAGUGAACCAGUACCG
rnacentral:rRNA from 1 species